UGGAGCUGUAAAUCAUAGCUUGCAAGUUCAAAUCUCAAAUGAGACAUAGCUACCGUGGUCCUGCAUGCUUAUAACAUUAAGAUGAAUGCAUGUCUAUAAAAGAAACAAGACAUAUACUAAUAAAAUAUAUCUUAAGGUAUUUCCGCUUUAACAGGAGAAGGCUCAUAUUGCAGUGGUAGGCAUGGUUACCUGGAUCACAAUCAGAAUGCCAAGCUCAGCGCAGUGUCCGCAGGGAGUAGUACUCAGGCAGGAAGUUCACACACAGGCAGACCCACCCUCGUCCUCGGGAAGGCGCACGUGCUAAUGGGCCCGUCUCGGCUGUCCCAGCUUGACCGUCGGCCAGGGUCCUGGGACUGCGCCCUUUUCCACCUUCAUGAACCCCCCCAGAACCCCCCCAUCCCCCCACCCCACUCCACCCCACGGCCCCCUCUGACAUCCUGCUAUGGUUUCGCCCUCUGACACGUACCCUCGCCGCCCCCCCCCCCGGGCACCCCAGACCCUCUGGCGCGUGGGACGGGUGAAGAAUGGGGCCGUGGGGGAACAGAACCUCACGGAAUUCUUAUGACGCAAGCUUGGACCGUGGGCCGCACAGAGAGAAUUCACGACGCCGUCGAUGA